rnacentral:rRNA from 1 species
ACGGGAGGCAGCAGUAGGGAAUCUUGCGCAAUGGGCGAAAGCCUGACGCAGCCAUGCCGCGUGAAUGAUGAAGGUCUUAGGAUUGUAAAAUUCUUUCACCGGGGAAGAUAAUGACGGUACCCGGAGAAGAAGCCCCGGCUAACUUCGUGCCAGCAGCCGCGGUAAUACGAAGGGGGCUAGCGUUGCUCGGAAUUACUGGGCGUAAAGGGCGCGUAGGCGGACAUUUAAGUCAGAGGUGAAAGCCCAGGGCUCAACCUUGGAAUUGCCUUUGAUACUGGAUGUCUUGAGUUCGGGAGAGGUGAGUGGAAUGCCGAGUGUAGAGGUGAAAUUCGUAGAUAUUCGGCGGAACACCAGUGGCGAAGGCGACUCACUGGCCCGAUACUGACGCUGAGGCGCGAAAGCGUGGGGAGCAAACAGGAUUAGAUACCCUGGUA